rnacentral:misc_RNA from 1 species
GUGAAUCAUCGAAUUUUUGAACGCAAAUUGCACUUUCUGGUAUUCCGGAAAGUAUGCCUGUUUGAGGGUCAGUUAAAUAAAAAUCGGUGUUGAUGCUGUUUUUCGUGGUGCCGCGUUGGAAUUGAGUUGUCUUAUCUUCGGUUAAGUGACUUAAAAUUUUUGCAUGAUUUUCGAACGUAUUUAAAUCGCUUCCGUACGUUUGAGAUAUAGAAUGCUUAUUCGGUUCGGUCAUUUCCAUGAUUAG